rnacentral:rRNA from 1 species
UACGUAGGGUCCAAGCGUUGUCCGGAUUUACUGGGCGUAAAGAGCUCGUAGGUGGUUUGUCGCGUUGUUCGUGAAAACUCACAACUCAAUUGUGGGCGUGCGGGCGAUACGGGCAGACUGGAGUACUGCAGGGGAGACUGGAAUUCCUGGUGUAGCGGUGGAAUGCGCAGAUAUCAGGAGGAACACCGGUGGCGAAGGCGGGUCUCUGGGCAGUAACUGACGCUGAGGAGCGAAAGCGUGGGGAGCGAACAGG